rnacentral:rRNA from 1 species
CCUACGGGAGGCAGCAGUGGGGAAUAUUGGACAAUGGGCGCAAGCCUGAUCCAGCCAUGCCGCGUGUGUGAAGAAGGCCUUCGGGUUGUAAAGCACUUUCAGCGAGGAGGAAGGGUGUUGUGUUAAUAGUCAGCAUUUUGACGUUACUCGUGAAGAAGAACCGGCUAACUCCGUGCCAGCAGCCGCGGUAAU